rnacentral:rRNA from 1 species
AACGAACGCUGGCGGCAUGCCUAACACAUGCAAGUCGAACGGGAUCCUGGUUUCGGCCAGGUGAGAGUGGCGGACGGGUGAGUAACGCGUGGGAACCUGCCCAGUGGUGGGGGAUAACUGCGGGAAACUGCAGCUAAUACCGCAUGAGCCCGCAAAGGGGGAAAGAUUGAUCGCCAUUGGGAGGGGGCCCCGCGUUUCGAUUUAGGUAGUUGGUGAGGUAACGGCUCACCAAGCCUACGANCGAUAGCUGGUCUGAGAGGAUGAUCAGCCACACUGGGACUGAGAUACGGCCCAGACUCCUACGGGAGGCAGCAGUGGGGAAUAUUGGACAAUGGGGGCAACCCUGAUCCAGCAAUGCCGCGUGAGUGAUG